rnacentral:rRNA from 1 species
AUUCCAGCUCCAAUAGCGUAUAUUUAAGUUGUUGCAGUUAAAAAGCUCGUAGUUGGAUUUCGGUUGAGAGCGGCCGGUCCGCCGUUUGGUGUGCACUGGCUGGUUUCAGCUUCCUGCAGAGGACGCGCUCUGGGCUUAAUCGUCUGGACGUGGAGUCUGCGUGGUUACUUUGAAAAAAUUAGAGUGUUCAAAGCGGGCUUACGCUUGAAUAUUUCAGCAUGGAAUAACACUAUAGGACUCCUGUCCUACUUCGUUGGUCUCGGGACUCGACAUAAUGAUAAAUAGGGACAGUCGGGGGCAUUUGUAUUCAAACGACAGAGGCGAAAUUCUUGGACCGUUUGAAGACAAACUACUGCGAAAGCAUUUGCCAAGAAUGUUUUCAUCA